CAACCUCAGAUCAGACGUGGCGACCCGACGGAUUUAAUAUUACUAAGCGGAGGAAAAGAAAUGAACCAGGAUUCCCUCAGUAACGGCGAGUGAAGAGGAAAUAGCCCAGCACCAAAUUCCCGCCCAGGCGAUGGGCACAAGAAGUCAGUCUCCCCAACGCUGCCCAGGGGGCCCAAGUCCUUGUGAUCGAGGCUCAGCCCACGGAUGGUGUGAGGCUGGUGGGUGGCCCCCGGCUCGUUGGGUUGUUUCUGAAUGCAGCCCAAAGCGGGUGGUAAACUCCAUCCAAGGCUAAACACAGGCAGGAGGCUGAUAACAGACAAGUACCGUAAGGGAUAGUUGAAAAGAACUUUGAAGAGAGAGUUCAAAAGAGCGUGAAACUGUUCAGAGGUAAACGGGUGGGUUCCGCAUGGUCCGCCCGGAGGAUUCAACAUGGCAGCCAUGCUGGCUGCACGGGUGAGGUGGAUCCCCCCCCCCUCUGGGGGAUGGGGGACUGUCCCUUAGCAUGCUGGCCAUCAGGUGCAUUUCCUCUGUGGUCGUGCACCUCGACCAGCUCCGGGUCGGCUGGGAAGGCCGUGCAGAAGAUGACUCCCCUUAUCAUAGUUGAGUGCUACAGCCUGUGGCAUCAGCCCUCCCUGUGCCCUGGGGUCAUGGGAGACCACCGGCACCGCGACCCCCAGCUCCCGGUGGGACUGUUUACUGGGCCGGACUACCCUCAGUGUGGCUUGACUGCAUCCUGCAGCUGAGCUCACCUCGGGUGCCCGGGGGCUGUGGUGAUGUCGGUGACCUACUUCCCAUCUUGAAACAUGGACCAAGGAGUCUAACAGGUGCAUGAGUCCGAGGGUGGGCAGGAGACCCCAUGGCGCAAUGAAAGUGAGGGCUGGUGAGCUGAGGCGGGAUCCCCCCGCCCCACGUGGGGGGCACACCGCUGGCCCAUCUCACCCAUACCAUUGGGAAAGUGGAGAAUGAGCAUGCCUGGUGGGACCCAAAAGAUGGUGAACUAUGCCUGGGCAGGGAGAAGCCAGGGGAAACACUGGUGGAUGCCCGUAGCAGUCCUGACAUUCAAAUCGGUCAUCCGACCUGGGUAUAGGGGCAAAAGACUAAUUGAACCAUCUAGUAGCUGGCUCCCUCAAGUCUCCCUCAGGAUAGCUGGCGCUUGCCGUACACAGUUUUAUCUGGUAAAGCGAAUGAUUAGAGGUCUUGGGGCAGAAACAAUCUCAACCUAUUCUCAAACUUUAAAUGUGUAAGAAGCUCAACUCACUGGCUUGGAGCCAGGCGUGGAAUGCAAGCGCCUAGUGGGCCACUUUUGGUAAGCAGAACUGGCGCUAUGGGAUGAACUGAAUGCUAGGUUAAGGCGCCUGAUGCAGACGUGCACCAGACCCCAGAAAAGGUGUUGGUUGAUAUAGAUAGCAGGAUGGUAGCCAUGGAAGUCUGAAUCUGCUAAGGAGUGUGUAACAAUUCACUUGCCGAAUCAACUGAAAAUGGAUGGUGCUGGAGCAUCGGGCACAUAUCCAGCCAUUGCUGGUGCUGCAAGCUGAGGGGACAAUGCCACAAUGAGUAGGAGGACCACCGGGGUCGCAUUGAAGCAAAGGGCGAGGGCCCGGGUGGAGCCGCAGGUGCAGAGCUUGGUGGUAGUAACAAAUAUUCAAACGGGACCUUUGAAGGCCGAAGUGGAGAACGGUUCCAUGUGAGCAGCAGUUGAACAUGGGUCAGUCAGUCCUGAGAGAUAGGUGAGCUCCGCUCUGAAGGAACGGGCGAUGGCCUCCGUCGUCCUUAGCCGAUCGAAAGGGAGUCGGGUUCAGAUCCCCGAAUCCUGAGUGGCAGAGAUAGGCACCUCGAAUCCGGAGUGGCAGAGAUAGACACCUUGCGAUGUCCAGUGUGGUGACGCAAAUGAUCCCGGGAGAAGCCGGCGGGAGCCCUGGGAGAGUCCUCUUUUCUUUGUAAAGGGCAAGGGCACCCUGGAAUGGGUUUGCUCCGAGAGAGGGGCUCGCACCCUGGAAAGCAUCAUGGUUCUGUCGGCAUGAGGUGAGCUCUCGCCAACCCUUGCAAAUCCGGGGGACAGGGUGCAAGUCUCAUGCCAGGCUGUACCUAUAUCCACAGCAGGUCUCCAAGGUGAACAGUCUCUGGCAUGUUAGAACAAUGUAGGUAAGGGAAGUUGGCAAGCCAGAUCCGUAACCCGGGAUAAGGACUGGCUCUAAGGGCUGGGUUGGUCUUGGGCAUGAAGAGGGGCUGGGUGAGCGCUGUGGCUGGAAGAGGUGUCGCCCCUUUGCCAUGCUCCCCUUGGGGAUGGUGGCGUGACUCUGAACCCACGCUGGGCCCUUCCUAUUGAUCACCCGGCUGUGGCGUGCCGGUCCUGACUGUCAUCCUGCAUCAUCCGGCUGGUAGCAGCUGACUUAGAACUGGUGCGGACCGAGGGAAUCCGACUGUUUAAUUAAAACAAAGCAUCGCAAAGGCCCGAGACGGGAGUUAACGCGAUGUGACUUUUGCCCAGUGCUCUGAAUGU